CCGGCCACCAUCCCCCAGCUUGUACUAGAUUGAACCAAGCCCAAGCGAAAGCUGGGGCUGGCAAAGCUCCAGCCGAGUGCAGAGGGUAUGCUCAAAGCAGGAAGCUGUGGCAAAGCUGAGUCGCUAAAAAGCUACUGGAGCUAAUAUAUUGUGGUCAUGGGGAUAGGCAGCAGCAUCUGAGUAGCGAUGGGAAGACUCAAAAGCGCCUUCAAAACAGGCUUGAAAAGUACUGCUGAUCUUUGCACUUUGACUGGGCUUUUGUGCUUACGGUUACGCUUGAAACAUUUAGGCCGCACGUUGUGUGGUGACGGCCUGGUGCAGUGCAUACGGUCUAUCCCUACGCACGGCGUGUGCCUCGCAGAUGCCUCGUUUGCUGCCCGUGCACCUAAAUGCAGAGGAAGGGAGGGAGAAGAAGCUAUUCCAGCUCUGCUGCAUUGGUGGUCACUGGCUCUGAAGAACAUGCUGAACCUGAAAAGAGGACAGGAAAAUGGCUGGGUUAAAAACAAACAAGGAAGCAUCCCCAUCUUCUUCUUCUACAGCAAAGAUUUUUUUAUUUUUUUAUUUUUUUUCUCAAAGUAUUGCUCCUUCUAGAUACUUUCUAACUCCAUCCUAAGUGUUUGAAAGCAACUCUCACUAAAGUUUAUCCUAAUAAUAAACCGUGACGGAAGGAAGUAAUCUUAGUAUUC
rnacentral:lncRNA from 1 species